rnacentral:rRNA from 1 species
CUACGAUAGCGGCCGCCUACACUCGAUAGCCGAACGGUAGCACAGAGAGCUUGCUCUCGGGUGACGAGUGGCGGACGGGUGAGUAAUGUCUGGGAAACUGCCUGAUGGAGGGGGAUAACUACUGGAAACGGUAGCUAAUACCGCAUAACGUCGCAAGACCAAAGAGGGGGACCUUCGGGCCUCUUGCCAUCAGAUGUGCCCAGAUGGGAUUAGCUAGUAGGUGGGGUAACGGCUCACCUAGGCGACGAUCCCUAGCUGGUCUGAGAGGAUGACCAGCCACACUGGAACUGAGACACGGUCCAGACUCCUACGGGAGGCAGCAGUGGGGAAUAUUGCACAAUGGGCGCAAGCCUGAUGCAGCCAUGCCGCGUGUAUGAAGAAGGCCUUCGGGUUGUAAAGUACUUUCAGCGGGGAGGAAGGUGUUGUGGUUAAUAACCACAGCAAUUGACGUUACCCGCAGAAGAAGCACCGGUUAACUCCGUGCCAGCAGCCGCGGUAAAUCGGAGGGUGCAAGCGUUAAUCGGAAUUACUGGGCGUAAAGCACACGUAGGGCGGUCUGUUAAAGUCAGAAUAUGAAAAUCCCCGGGUCUCAAACUGGGGUACUGUCUAUUCGAAAAGUGUCAAGGCUUGGUAAUCUUCGUUAGAGAGGUGGUAUUGAUUAUCUCAAGGGGGGAAGCGUGUUGUAUAAGUAUCUGGUUAUAUGAUAUAUUCUUUGUCAUAGUCUACAAUAACACUGCAUGAGGCAUAGACAAGACAAAGCUCGAUUGUAGUCUCGUCUGAUGUGAUAUCUAUGAUCUUGAUAUCAUGCUUGCUCGUGUAUGUUGAGUGACUGACAUCUAGUAUAGCAUGUCGUAUUGACAUACUAUGCUAUGUCAGUGUCGUACUCGUCGAGUGAAGUAACUGAGUAAUCCUAGUAUCUUUAAG